UACGUAGGGCGCAAGCGUUGUCCGGAAUUAUUGGGCGUAAAGCGCUCGUAGGCGGCCUGUUGCGUCCGCUGUGAAAUCCCGGGGCUUAACCCCGGGCGUGCAGUGGAUACGGGCAGACUGGAGGCAGGCAGGGGAGAACGGAAUUCCCGGUGUAGCGGUGAAAUGCGCAGAUAUCGGGAGGAACACCGGUGGCGAAGGCGGUUCUCUGGGCCUGUACUGACGCUGAGGAGCGAAAGCGUGGGGAGCGAACAGG
rnacentral:rRNA from 1 species